CAGCCGCCGCGGUAAUACGGAGGGUGCGAGCGUUAAUCGGAAUAGCUGGGCGUAAAGGGCACGCAGGCGGUGACUUAAGUGAGGUGUGAAAGCCCCGGGCUUAACCUGGGAAUUGCAUUUCAUACUGGGUCGCUAGAGUACUUUAGGGAGGGGUAGAAUUCCACGUGUAGCGGUGAAAUGCGUAGAGAUGUAGAGGAAUACCGAAGGCGAAGGCAGCCCCUUGGGAAUGUACUGACGCUCAUGUGCGAAAGCGUGGGGAGCAAACAGGAUUAGAUACCCCAGUAGUCCCUGUCUCUUAUAC
rnacentral:rRNA from 1 species